GUGCCUAACACAUGCAAGUCGAGGGGCAUCAGGAUUAAAGCUUGCUUUCUUUGCUGGCGACCGGCGCACGGGUGAGUAACACGUAUCCAACCUGCCCUUUACUCGGGGAUAGCCUUUCGAAAGAAAGAUUAAUACCCGAUAGCAUAAUGAUUCCGCAUGGUUUCAUUAUUAAAGGAUUCCGGUAAAGGAUGGGGAUGCGUUCCAUUAGGUUGUUGGUGAGGUAACGGCUCACCAAGCCUUCGAUGGAUAGGGGUUCUGAGAGGAAGGUCCCCCACAUUGGAACUGAGACACGGUCCAAACUCCUACGGGAGGCAGCAGUGAGGAAUAUUGGUCAAUGGGCGCUAGCCUGAACCAGCCAAGUAGCGUGAAGGAUGAAGGCUCUAUGGGUCGUAAACUUCUUUUAUAUAAGAAUAAAGUGCAGUAUGUAUACUGUUUUGUAUGUAUUAUAUGAAUAAGGAUCGGCUAACUCCGUGCCAGCAGCCGCGGUAAUACGGAGGAUCCGAGCGUUAUCCGGAUUUAUUGGGUUUAAAGGGAGCGUAGGUGGACUGGUAAGUCAGUUGUGAAAGUUUGCGGCUCAACCGUAAAAUUGCAGUUGAUACUGUCAAUCUUGAGUACAGUAGAGGUGGGCGGAAUUCGUGGUGUAGCGGUGAAAUGCUUAGAUAUCACGAAGAACUCCGAUUGCGAAGGCAGCUCACUGGACUGCAACUGACACUGAUGCUCGAAAGUGUGGGUAUCAAACAGGAUUAGAUACCCUGGUAGUCCACACAGUAAACGAUGAAUACUCGCUGUUUGCGAUAUACAGUAAGCGGCCAAGCGAAAGCAUUAAGUAUUCCACCUGGGGAGUACGCCGGCAACGGUGAAACUCAAAGGAAUUGACGGGGGCCCGCACAAGCGGAGGAACAUGUGGUUUAAUUCGAUGAUACGCGAGGAACCUUACCCGGGCUUAAAUUGCAGUGGAAUGAUGUGGAAACAUGUCAGUGAGCAAUCACCGCUGUGAAGGUGCUGCAUGGUUGUCGUCAGCUCGUGCCGUGAGGUGUCGGCUUAAGUGCCAUAACGAGCGCAACCCUUAUCUUUAGUUACUAACAGGUUAUGCUGAGGACUCUGGAGAGACUGCCGUCGUAAGAUGUGAGGAAGGUGGGGAUGACGUCAAAUCAGCACGGCCCUUACGUCCGGGGCUACACACGUGUUACAAUGGGGGGUACAGAAGGCAGCUACCUGGUGACAGGAUGCUAAUCCCAAAAGCCUCUCUCAGUUCGGAUCGAAGUCUGCAACCCGACUUCGUGAAGCUGGAUUCGCUAGUAAUCGCGCAUCAGCCACGGCGCGGUGAAUACGUUCCCGGGCCUUGUACACACCGCCCGUCAAGCCAUGGGAGCCGGGGGUACCUGAAGUACGUAACCGCAAGGAUCGUCCUAGGGUAAAACUGGUGACUGGGGCUAAGUCAU
rnacentral:rRNA from 1 species